UAGUGUGCUAUGGCUUCUUGCUGC
rnacentral:piRNA from 1 species